rnacentral:rRNA from 1 species
GAUGAACGCUGGCGGCGCGCCUAACACAUGCAAGUCGAACGAUUAAAGCACCUUCGGGUGUGUAUAAAGUGGCGAACGGCUGAGUAACACGUGGGCAACCUGCCCCUUUCAUUGGGAUAGCCACGGGAAACCGUGGAUAAUACCGAAUACUUCGAGACUUCCGCAUGGAAGACUCGAGAAAGCUCCGGCGGAGAGGGAUGGGCCCGCGGCCUGUUAGCUUGUUGGUGAGGUAACGGCCUACCAAGGCAAUGAUGGGUAGCUGGGUUGAGAGACCGACCAGCCAGAUUGGGACUGAGACACGGCCCAGACUCCUACGGGAGGCAGCAGUGGGGAAUCUUGCACAAUGGGCGAAAGCCUGAUGCAGCGACGCCGCGUGCGGGAUGAAGGCCUUCGGGUCGUAAACCGCUUUCAGCAGGGACGAGGCGAAAGUGACGGUACCUGCAGAAGAAGCCCCGGCUAACUACGUG